ACUGCCCUUAAUCCCGCCUUUGUUGCUCCAUUGGUUGGCGUGAUAGUCAAUCACACAGAGUAGUCAGCCAAUCAUUGCACCUGGAGUGUUUUUUAGGCCUGCUCCAGCUUUUCCCAAUCAGGUGUGAGGGGGAGAGCUGGAGACAAAGGAGCUGCAGAUCUGGGUAUCCAGUGAGCUUGGAGCCAGGAAGUUCUCAUACAGCGAUCUAUAAAUGGAAUUGGCCAGGUGACCCUUUUUGGGUUAAAGGAUGGUGAGCUUCUGAUAACUGGCUGGAGCCAGGAGAACCUGAAAUUGACUCCAUACUGGUCUGGUAGGAGGCUGAUGGUCCACAAUAUUUCCCCCUCCAUCUCACUACAUAGACACACUUCAUUAUUCAUCUUUUCAUCGGACACAAAUUGCGCUUGGACAUUCUCCUCUUGAAUAUCUGGAAAAAACACACAAUGGACUUUUAAAUGUGUGUCGGUCAGACAUUGUACUGACCAGGCGGGGAAAAGUGAAGGACUUUUGUGCACAAUUAUAUAGAAGAUUUACUGCAGUGCUGUGUAUAUAUUUAUUGUGUUUUUGUUUUGUAUGUUUUGUCUUGUAAUGUUUACUUUUCUUUAAAAUACAUAGUAUUGAAAGCAAUUAUUCUUUUGUUUCGUUUGAUUACUGACAACAGCUCCAGUAGAUGAAUUUAGUCUUCUGAUCUCAGAUGCUACUUAGUCUUGUGCUACAUUAAAUA